CUCAAUUAAUUAACAAACAGGUAUAUUUCAAUGGAAAAAGCUAUGGAGGAACAAACUUCAGAAAUAUCAAAACUACCCGAACAGGUAUAUUUAUUUAUGAUUAUGAAUAGCUAAAUUCAUAAUUUCCAACAAUCAUGAUAUGAUAAAAUGUUAAGAAGUUUAUUAGCAAAGUGGAAACGGAGAAAAAUCCCUAAGAACUAUGCCAUCCUAAAAGUGAAACCAAUGAGGCAAGAAACCGUGGCGGGGGGUAACCAGAGUAGAGGCGCUGUUUAAGGGAAAAAGUAUCCAAAUUACCAUGCUAAUAGUGACCGAAGAACAUGUUAUUUAAGAAUAAUCUAGUAUAUAGUAAUCUAAGAUGACCAUAUUUUGUUAUGUACAUGGUUGAAGGGAAUAUUUUGAAAAAAGCAAUUUUAUGAAAAUGAAUAAUUAUUUAUCUGAUGUGAUGGUAGAUAAAUUUAAAAUACUUAUUUUGUAUGCACUUAGAGAUAUAAAAGUGGUAGAUAUAAGAAAAAUCAUAUUAGAAAAAGCAUUUGGUAAAUAUUACAUGACUAGAGUAAAUU
rnacentral:lncRNA from 1 species